rnacentral:snRNA from 3 species
GUGCUCGCUUUGGCAGCACAUAUACUAAAACUGGAACGAUACAGAGAAGAUUAGCAUGGCUUUGCUCAAGGAUGACUUGCAAAUUCGUGAAGCAUUCCAUAUUUUU